rnacentral:lncRNA from 1 species
ACUAAUUUAUUGAUAAUACUAUCUUUGGAUAAUCAAUUAUGUCACACUACAACAAAAUUAUUUUUUAGCGGCGAUUAUUUUUUAAAUUAGCGGCAAUUACAAUUGCCGCUAAAACGUUUUGUGGCAAUUUCAACAAUUGCCGCUAUUGGCAGGGUCGCUAAAAAUUUUAGCGGCAUUUAUUCCGGCGGUUGGUAAAAAUUCAAAUAAAUGCCGCUAAAUAUUAUACAAUAACGACUAUUAUAAAUGCCGCUAAAUAGUAUGCAAUAACAACUAUUAUAAAUGCCGCUAAAUAAUAUACAAUAACAACUAUUAUAAAUGCCGCUACAAUUAAUUAUAGUUGCCGCAAAAAACAUACUAAAUGAUUGAUUAAUAAAGCUUAUAACGGCAAUUAAAUUAAUAUUAAAAUACUUGAUUCACAAAAAAGUACUCCAAUGAAUUGAAA